UGCGCGGGCAAGGCGGAGAGCAGCAACACGAGCUGCAGCACCGCGGAGGCCGACAGCUGAGGCAUGACUGCGCAGCCGUCACCUGAGGACGGAACCGAGCGGCAGGUGGAUGAAGCAGGUAAUCUGCCCAAUCCCCGCAGCCCACGGAAGGAUCGGCCGGCCUUUAGCGGCUCGCCACGUCAGGAGGAGCCGAGCCAAGUGUAACUCCGGGCGGGGAAGUGGUUUGUCACGCAGUUCCGCUGUGGCAACGCAAGGGGCUCGAUGAUGUCAUACCGAGUGUGCAGAGCUGAUCGAUGGCUUUGAUGAUGCGCUCGCACUCCUCUGCACGUGUGUGGCAGCCCCAUUCGCCGUCCAUUGGGACGUACAGCAGCUCCU